UACGUAGGGGGCAAGCGUUGUCCGGAUUUAUUGGGCGUAAAGAGCGUGUAGGCGGCCAAGCAGGUCCGCUGUGAAAACUCGAGGCUCAACCUCGAGACGUCGGUGGAAACCGUUUGGCUAGAGUCCGGAAGAGGAGAGUGGAAUUCCCGGUGUAGCGGUGAAAUGCGCAGAUAUCGGGAAGAACACCCGUGGCGAAGGCGGCUCUCUGGGACGGUACUGACGCUGAGACGCGAAAGCGUGGGGAGCAAACAGGG
rnacentral:rRNA from 1 species